rnacentral:lncRNA from 1 species
AACCUGUGCUUAUUGCAUAUACCAUGCACAUUGAAACAUUCUUUUCAAUACUGAUUCCAGAAAUUUUGGCACGGAAAGGGAGGAGAAGAAUGAAGAAUAGUGAUCAGUUGUGCAGUGGGCUUGGUCCUCCGGGGACAAGUAGAUGUGAGACGCCGUGAACAGCCUCGUACUUGCUUCUUAAGUUGGGUUGCGUUUGGUGGUAGGGAGGCCCGGUGAUUUGCCGACAACUGGAAGUAUGGAGUGUUGCUAACACAAAUGCCAAAAUCAGAAGGGGAAGGAAAGGACUAAGAGUUCUCAUCCUCUGAAAAUCACCCAAAAUGG